rnacentral:rRNA from 1 species
GAUCAUGGCUCAGGAUGAACGCUAGCUACAGGCUUAACACAUGCAAGUCGAGGGGAAACGACAUCGAAAGCUUGCUUUUGAUGGGCGUCGACCGGCGCACGGGUGAGUAACGCGUAUCCAACCUUCCCGUUACUCUGGGAUAGCCUUUCGAAAGAAAGAUUAAUACCGGAUAGUAUCGAGAGAUUGCAUGAUAACCCGAUUAAAGAUUUAUCGGUAACGGAUGGGGAUGCGUUCCAUUAGAUAGUAGGG